rnacentral:rRNA from 1 species
CAGCCGCCGCGGGAAUACGUAGGGUGCAAGCGUUAAUCGGAAUUACUGGGCGUAAAGCGUGCGCAGGCGGUUAUAUAAGUCAGAUGUGAAAUCCCCGGGCUCAACCUGGGAACUGCAUUUGAGGCUGUAUGGCUAGAGUGUGUCAGAGGGGGGUAGAAUUCCACGUGUAGCAGUGAAAUACGUAGAUAUGUGGAGGAAUACCGAUGGCGAAGGCAGCCCCCUGGGAUAACACUGACGCUCAUGCACGAAAGCGUGGGGAGCAAACAGGAUUAGAUACCCCCGUAGUCCCUGUCUCUUAUAC